GAUGAAGAACGCAGCGAAAUGCGAUAAGUAAUGUGAAUUGCAGAAUUCAGUGAAUCAUCGAAUCUUUGAACGCACAUUGCGCCCGCCAGUAUUCUGGCGGGCAUGCCUGUUCGAGCGUCAUUUCAACCAUCAAGCCCCAGGCUUGUGUUGGGGACCUGCGGCUGCCGCAGGCCCUGAAAACCAGUGGCGGGCUCGCUGUCACACCGGGCGUAGUAGAUUUUAUCUCGCUCAGGGCGUGCUGCGGGUUCCGGCCGUUAAAAAGCCUUUUUUACCCAAGGUCGACCUCGGAUCAGGUAGGAAGACCCGCUGAACUUAAGCAUAUCAAUAGCGGAGGA
rnacentral:misc_RNA from 1 species